rnacentral:lncRNA from 1 species
AACCUCACAUAUCCAAAAUACUGUCAUCUCAAUAUGUAAUUAAUAUAUAAUUAUUAAUAGUAUUUUACAUUUGUCAUACCAAGUCUUUGAAAUCUAUAGCACAUUUCAAUUCAGAUGUUAAUUUUCACUGGAAAUAUUCUCUGUAUUUAGAUUUCUUAAAAUUUACAUUUCAAAAGUAAAUUCACACACCCACAUUCCAGAUGUAAAGUUUUCCCGUAACUGAAUCUCAUUUAUCAGAUUUUAAAUUUAAAUUAAUUUUGGAUCUUCAACAGCCACAUCUCAGGGCAACGCCGGAUCGUUAACCCACUGAACAAGGCCCAGGGAUCGAAUCCGCAACUUCAUGGUUCCUAGUCGGAUUCGUUAACCACUGAGCCACAACGGGAACUCCGGACAUUCUGAUUUAUACUUAAGGAUAACUGAUCCGGAAGAGAAAAGUUGCAUUUAUUAAGGUAUGUAACCCUGAGUUUGCAUCUAGGCUUUCAUUAAGAGUAACACAAGAGCCAGAUUGCCAGUGGUCUGCAUUCCUAGCCUGAAAAUUCUUAGAUUAAAUUUCAGAUUGGCUAAUUGCUUUGCCUAUUUGAAGGGAAUAAAGUUAAGGACGUGGAGAUUGGUGAGUGACUGUCAGUAAAUGACUGCAGAGAAUUGUGGACGUCAGGACAGGAUCCCUGUGGCUCCUUUGGAACCGUUCUCGAGGGACACAGGAAUUAAGUUAUACCCUUUGAGAACUGAUUUUGAAGGGAGAGCAUUCCAAGGUCAGGCUCGUUAGUACAGUUGGUACCAGGAAACUUGGAAAGGAGACGCAAAGCCAGACCAAGGGAGGGAAUGCUGCACUUGGGUAUUUCAAGGAAGGUAGGAAUGCUUUCUGCUGGGGCCGGGGGUGGGCCUUAAAAAUAGUAAUAGUAAAUAAUAAAUGACUGUCAAUAAAGACACUUAACUAUCUUGUACAUGUUAGAUAACAGGAAAUCUGGACAGAGGCAGUCUGGUCUAGUUAAGCAGGUAGGCGAUGCCAUCACUCACCCAGGCACCCAGGCAUUCUCUACUUUUUCACUGUGUACUUUCCUAGAAACCAUACAACAAAUUGUAAAUUUUUGUAUGAUAAUGAUGUCAUAUUUGGAGUUAAUCUCCAAUUAAGGACUCAGCCUUAAGUAAACAAAAAUAUGGUCAGCAAAGUCCUAAAGCCAAAUACACAGUGAUUGAAACUCUGUAACUGUUUAACAUAGUAUAAUCCUGCUCGAGCUUAUUAAAGGGGCACAUGCGCACUGUGUGCAUUGGAUAUGCAUUCCUUCAUUGAAGAAGCAUACCAUGGUACCCUUUAAUAAGUGAUGCAAGGUGCAUUUGCUAGCUCUACAUUGAAUUUUUAAUUAAUAAUGUCAGUCCAUCUUAAGUCAUGAGGGCUUUUGGAGGGUGAGUUUAAUGGUCUAGAACGGAUCAUUAAAGUUGCCCACACAGACUUCCUUCGGUUUCCUCUUUAGCAAGAAGGCUUUCAGAAUUUCAUCUUAAGGCGUGUUCAUUAGCGUGUUCAUUAAUGAUGAUUGUGGGUUUUGCCCACUACAAUCAUAAAGUACAUUAUAAAUUGCAUAAUAAUACUUUUAUCCAUUACAAACCAAUCUAUUAUUUUAAAACUUUGGAAAUUACAGAAAGUAUUAAAGUGUCAGAACAGUCACCCGUAUUGUUUCCACCUAAAGAUGACCGGUAUAAAUAUUUUGGCUUAUUUUCUGUUAAUCUUGCAUGUGGUUGUUAAAAAUAAGUCUUGAAUCAGCUUUUGCCCUUGCUUCUUCAGGAUUCUUCAGUUUUUUUUUGAGAACUCUAAGCAGAGCUGAUAGAUCAGAUACAGCCCUCUGAGAAGCAAUGAUGCUGUUGAGACUCUUGCUUGACAGUAUUUUUAUGCAUAUUAGACUUAACUCAUACUUCAAUGAAAAACAAUAAAAAGCAAUUACUGGCUACACUGCUGGAGAAAAAAAGGCUUCAAAAAUUCAUAGAAUUAAUAAGGCAAACUGAAUGUAGACAUGUAGUUAAGACCAGUAGUUUGUGAAGUCAGAAAUGAAGGGUUAAAGGCAGUGCUCGAAGUCUGGGGCACUAGAACCGCAGAACUCAGGAGCAGUAGAGGGCGAUACACUGGCCGUCUAGGCUCUAGUCUGACUCCCCAUUUUUCUGGGUGGGGAAUCAAGCCCUCAGCAGCGAAUGAUUUAUCCAGGAUUAUACAGAGGGGUAUUAUAAGCUGACUUCCAGUUUAUUCUUCUCCUAAACACAAAGCAGCGAAACAUGGCCCUGAUUUUAUGGAAAAUGAAUUCUGCAAAUAUUAAUGCUUACCCAGAUUCUCCUUAACAGUAGUAUGGUCUCUGUGGAAAAGGAAUGAGAACACCAUAAACUUGUAGAUUCAAGCACCUAACUGCAAAUUCUGGACAUUUCCCUUUUUAUAUACUCAACCUUUGUUUGCUAUUUGAUCAUUUUAAAGUACAUUACAUAUUAAAAUCAUUAUAACUAUAAUUGAAAUGAUAUAGUAUAUAUUAAACAUUAAUUGGGAAAUAUGUUCCCACAGUAGGGCAAAAAGACAAGUUAUUAUUGUAAGGCUUACGCAGUGUUCCAUUGACACGCACAAUACUGAUAAAGCAUUACCAAUUACAAAACAAAAGAAAUGAAUUACGAAUAUGUAGACAUCACUAGGUCAGGAGAGAUGGCGGAGACAAGGCCAAUAUGUAUUUUCAGGCAACGUCCCUAAGAUACACAGAAGCAAAUUUUAGAGAAAAGUAAAAAAAAAAAAAAA